UACGGGGGGGGCAAGCGUUGUUCGGAAUUACUGGGCGUAAAGGGCUUGUAGGUGGCCGGCUAAGUCAGACGUGAAAUCCCUCAGCUUAACUGGGGAACUGCGUCUGAAACUGAUCGGCUCGAGUGCAGGAGAGGAACGCGGAAUUCCAGGUGUAGCGGUGAAAUGCGUAGAUAUCUGGAGGAACACCGGUGGCGAAGGCGGCGUUCUGGACUGCAACUGACACUGUAAAACGAAAGCCAGGGGAGCAAACGGG
rnacentral:rRNA from 1 species